UACGAAGGGGGCUAGCGUUGCUCGGAAUCACUGGGCGUAAAGCGCACGUAGGCGGCUCUUUAAGUCAGGGGUGAAAUCCUGGAGCUCAACUCCAGAACUGCCUUUGAUACUGAGGAUCUUGAGUUCGGGAGAGGUGAGUGGAACUGCGAGUGUAGAGGUGAAAUUCGUAGAUAUUCGCAAGAACACCAGUGGCGAAGGCGGCUCACUGGCCCGAUACUGACGCUGAGGCACGAAAGCGUGGGGAGCAAACAGG
rnacentral:rRNA from 1 species